CUACGGGAGGCAGCAGUGAGGGAUAUUGCACAAUGGGGGAAACCCUGAUGCAGCGACGCCGCGUGGGUGAUGAAGGUCUUCGGAUCGUAAAGCCCUUUUCUAGGUGACGAGAACGGACGGUAGCCUAGGAAGAAGUCUCGGCUAACUACGUGCCAGCAGCCGCGGUAAAACGUAGGAGGCAAGCGUUAUCCGGAGUUACUGGGCGUAAAGCGCGUGUAGGUGGUUGGACAAGUUCGGUGUGAAAGCCUCCGGCUCAACCGGGGAAUGGCACGGAAGACUGUUCGGCUAGAGGCAGCUAGAGGGACGUAGAAUUCCGGGUGUAGCGGUGAAAUGUGUAGAGAUCCGGAGGAAUACCAGUGGCGCAAGCGGCGUCCUGGGGCUGACCUGACACUGAGACGCGAAGGCGUGGAGAGCAAACAGGAUUAGAAACCCCGGUAGUCC
rnacentral:rRNA from 1 species